AUUUAUUUGAGGGUUUGAUCCUGGCUCAGGACGAACGCUGGCGGCGUGCCUAACACAUGCAAGUCGAACGGGAUUCGCAUGCUCAGCACUGAGCGCAAGUUGGUAACAACAAGGUAGAGGGCAUAGCACAUGCAAACUUGGACGCUGAGUGCUGAGCAGGCGAUGAGAGUGGCGAACGGGCGAGUAACGCGUGAGCAACCUACCUCGUACUGGGGGAUAACGUCGGGAAACCGGCGCUAAUACCGCAUAAGACUACGA
rnacentral:rRNA from 1 species